ACACACACACACACUAUUUAGAAAGCUCCCCAGGCAAUGCUGACGUGCAGCUGUGGGUGUGGAAGGCAAGACAAGACUUUAUACCUGGAUCCCUUCUUUUGUCCCAAGGGCCCUCUCUUUCCAGAUGAGGACACUGAGACCCAGAGAUUUUUCCUGACUUGUCCAAAGGCACAAAGCUAGUAAGUGGUAGCACUGGGAAUCAAACCUACGUUUCAUGACUUUUCCCCCCUUUCCUGUUUCAGUGAGAUACAACUGUCCCACAGCACUGUAUGAGCGCGAACACGUCGGCUAAGGACUUGCAUACAUUGUGAAACGAUCAACACAUUCCACAGGUGCAGCCCCGGUUUCCCCAUCUGUACGGUGAAAGGAUGAGCAAACUGAGACAAGGCACGAAGACCUACUUUCACAAGUGCCGCAAAGGUGACCCGAUGGUUAACUCUCCCUCGGGGAGGGUUUUGAACCCUCUGUCACCUGCCUUGCCUGGCUAUUGUCCUGUAGGAUUUCCACCAUCCACGACGUCCUCUAGACCCAAAGCCGUAAUCUCAGCAAGAAGCUACCCUGUUUUACAAAGGAGAAAAUGGAAGCCCAGAGAGGAACGGGACUUGCCAAGGUCACACGGGGAGUAUUCAGUGGGGCUUCAAUUCCAGUCGUGGAACAAGCAGGAAGUUGAGGUGGUCCUGGCUGGGGAUUUAACUGGUCUGCAGGUCUGUGUGUUCCUCAGAGAGCACCCCCCGCCACGACCCCCACCCCAGUCUGGAGGGCUGUGCAGUCUACCUUGUGCUCCCAACCCCCUCCCAUGGCCAAGGCCAGGCCAGAGGGUGGUGACCCCAGCCAGAGCUGGACACGCCCAGAGCUGGACACACCCUCUGGACACAUCCAGAGCUUCCUGGGAAAGACCUGACAGUGGCUGCUUUGGUAAAGCUCCUCCCAGGGCUGGUCUCAGGAAGUUCUGGGGACAGCUGGUCCUCCGGUCCGCCCUCCCGCCGCAGCCACCCUGAUGACGCACCCCACCCCUACCCCAUGUGUCUCCCAGCUUCCAGAGCUGGCGUCCUCCCUGACCCCGGGCCUUGGAAACCAUACCUUGUCGUUCAUCCCACACAAACUCCAGCCCUGCCCUGGCUGCCCAGAAAGUGACCUUUCCUCUAAGGAGGAGGCCACCAAAAAAAGGAGCUUUCACUUGAGAACAAUCCAACUGGGGUCCCCAGGUUGAGUUCCUAGGACAGAAGCAUCGGUUUCCCCAGCUGCUCCUGUGGUUCCCCACCCCCACACAAAUAUUUCAGUGUAAGGUUGGGUCCGAUGGAGGCGUCUGGGGCUGACUGAAAGGGCAGGGGAGCCCGGGCAUCCUGACCGGAGAAGGGGGCAUCCCUGUGUUACAGUGACCACAGCCCUGGGACCUAAAAAUAGUCAGAACAAUGCACCAGCCCUGGUGUCUAAGCGUGCUUGGUACUGUGCUAGCCACAUAAGGGUCUCACUGAAUUCCCACAAGCAUCCCCAGAAGCAGACACAAGUCUAUCCUUACAUUUUACAGAGGAGGAAACUGAGGCCCAGAGAACGGAGUGAUCUCACCAGGCAAUAACUAGAGCGGCUGGGAUUCAAACCCACAGCCAUGACUCUGCCUGAAGCCUGGCACUGGAGUCAGCCAUGAGAUUCUUGAGGGGCUGUCUCCGUCAUGAAUAUAUCUCCAUAUCAAUUCCCUGUGGCAGACGGUAUUUUCCAAAGAUGGCCACCACAAUUCCUCCCAUCCCACAUGCUCUCCCUACAGUGUGACAGUGACAGUCCUCUCACUGAGAGGCGGGUCUCUGGAGGGAGCUGGUAACUACGGCAGAAGUGACAUGAUGUGACUUGCAAGGCUAGGUUCUAUAAAAGAUAACAAGGCAUCCACCUGGUUCCCCUGGGAUGCUCACUCUUGGAACCCAGCUGCCAUAUUAUGUGGAAGUUCAGGCCGCACGGAAGGGUCGUGGGUAGGUGUUCCGGCUGACGGUUCCAGCUGAGGUCCCAGCUGACAGCCGGCAUCAAUUGCCAGACAUAUGCCUUCUAGAUAACUCCAGCCCCUGUCAUGGGCUGACUGCAACUGUUUGAGAAAUCCUAAGCAAGAACCACUCCCGCUGAGCCCAGUGACCCCCAGAGCCAUGAGAGACCAUAAAGUUUGGGGUGAUUUGGAUGCAGCAUAAAUAACUGGGACCCCUUCCAUCCUCUACCCCCUCACACAUCCCUGAGGCCAGCCAGGGCCCGGUACACAGGCAGUACCUUCACGUGUCUGUAAUUCACAAACACACUGAAGUGUACAGGCAGCCCUGCUUAUUCCGAUCUGUUUGUCCCGACAGCCUGGACUGUGGAAAUAAACACCCAGACGGCAGGUGUUUUACAUACUAGGCCAAUUUGGGGAAAUUGAGGCCUCCUGCUUGUGCAGUGAGGUCUCUACCAGGGCAAGGAAAGACGUCCUCCAACAUUUUGCUCUAACGGCCUUACAUUGUGUGUGGAUCAAGGACAGAGGGUAAGACACCCGGCCUUAAUCAGUUGACCUCUGGCCUCUCCUCUUUUUAAAAAAUGCUUAUUUAUUUUUGGCGGGGGCAGAGAGAGAGGGAGACAGGAUCCGAAGCAGGCUCUGCACUAACAGCGGCAAGCCCGGUGCGGGGCCCGAACUCACGAACCCCGUGGGAUCAUGGCCUGAGCCGAAGUCGGACGCUUAACCGACUAAGCCACCCAGGCGCCCAGACCUCUGGCUUCUCCUAAUCCCUGACUUUCUUUUAGACAGCUUUGUUGAGCUAUAACACUCACCCCUUUAAGGGUAUACAAGUGAAUGGUUUGAGUAUACCUACAGUUGUUCAACCAUCACUAUAAUUUCAGAGCAUUUUUAAUCACCGCCCCCCCCCAAGAAAUCCCAUAGUAAUAGCAAUUACUCCCCAGUCUCCUCCCAGGCCUAGACAGCCACUAGGCUGCCUUCUGUCUCUGUGGAUUUGUCUAGUGUGGACAUUUCACAUAAAUGGAAUCAUACAAUAUGUGAUCUUUAAUGACUGGCUGCUUUCAUUUACCAUGAUGUUUUCAAAGUCCGUUCAUAUUUACCUUUCUAUGGCUGAAUAAUAUUCCAUUGUGUGGACAGGCCACAUUUUGUUUAUCCAUUCAUCUGUUAAUGGGCAUUUGAGUCAUCUCCACUUUUUGGCUAUUCUGAACCAUGCUGCAAUGAACCUUUGUGUAUGA